UAGAUUUUUCAUAUUCAAACCGUAUUUUACCGAUACUGAUGAGUACAGGGGGCAACCACCACAAUUUCAAGUUCAGGAUGAACACAAAGAGUUUGAUCUCCCACUUUGUUCUGAAACAAAUCCUAAGCAAGAGUGGGUGUGAACCAGCAAGAACUUGGAGAUCAAACCUCUACAAUCCUAGUUUAUGACGCCUAUGCUACUGUCUCUGCCUUUGCUUAUAGGUGUGGUUAUAGGCACCCUGCAGAGCUCAAAUCAAAAGAAAGAGAGUUGAGGUUGAUUGAAGAUUCUAUCAUAGAGCUCUCAGCAAAGCUUCAACAAAAAGAAGAGAAAUUGGAUUCAGCUCGACAACAUGUGAAACAUUGUGCCAGAAAAAUUGAAUCAAAAGAGGAGGAGCUCAAUAAAAUCAAAGUAAGAAUAAACACAUAUGAUAGAGCUUGAAUCGAGAGAGAGGGAGUUCAAUGCCAUUCAACUGUCCAUUGAAGACCGGAGUGAGGAACUUAAAGGGAAGGAUAGGCAACUGAAAUCUGUCCAACUAUCGAUAGGAGAAUGGGAGAAAGAGCUGAAAGCAAUGAAGGAACAUAAAUAUCCCAUCCAAAAAUCAGUUGUGGAAUGCUCUGAGGAGCUCCAAUCAAAAGAGAAGAACCUUAUUUUGGCAAGAGAAUCUCUCAGAGAAUGUUGUGAUAAUCUCGAAUCGAAGAAGGUGCAGCUGGAUUCAAUUCAACGUACUGGUUAUGAUUAUAGGGGAUUGAAGACAAUGCAACUUAUCCAGCAAUUUAACCUGAGCUUAAUGCAACCUUAAAAAAUUACUGUCUCUCCCCUGAAGUCUUUUGACUUUAACAUGUAGCAAGCAUCUCAACAGAAAACCAUAUUCAGCAUAAUUCCCAUUCAUAUUUUUUGAAACAGUACACUAAUAUUCCAUAAAAAUUCAAGAGAGAACACAAAUAAUGGAAAUCCGAUCAGGCCAUUUACGUGCCAUGAAGAUAUCGAAGGAAAUAAGAGGCCAUUUUGCAUGCAUAAACCUUUAUUUACCUGCUUAAAUAUGCAGCCAUACUAUUACCAUUCACAUAUAUUCCAUAUAUAAGCAAGCUGCUAAGUAACAAUGAUCUUAAGGUCCAUUAUGAAUAGCAGCGGCCGUGGUGGGGAAUGACACCGAGGGGAUAGAAGAUGGAGGGCUUGGCACUGAAGGGAUAGUUGGUGGAAGUGGAGGCAACCUGACAAGUGGUGGAUCAGGCAAAUUAGGAAGAACUGUAAAGCCGAGAAUAUUACACGUUGGAGGCAGGAGAUGACGAGCUGCCACAGCAACAUCAAUGCUUGAAAAUGACAGUGUGAUCAUGAACAUAGCCAAAAUCAGUAAGCGAGAAGAUGCCAUGGUAUAAUAAUAUAAGAACAAGAAAUCAGUGACCUCUGACCUAGAACAAUCAGGCAAGGAAAGCAAUAGAGGCUUAUGGGGUGUGCAAACUCUGACCUUCCUUUUGCUAUUUAUAAUCGAGUUCAUUGAUUCACUGUGUAAAUGAAGGGCAGGCAGUAAGCUGCUGCAUUUGACGAGUUUUGUUGCAUGUGCUUGGCUAAAACUGAAGUGCUUCAAAAGCAGAAGUCAAGCAACUGGUACAUAUUACUCCAGCUGCUGUUAAAUUUUCAUCUUCAGUGCUUUCAAAUGAAGUAGUAGUCAUCACAUGAGUCUACCUAAUUUGUUUGGUAGAUGCAGGUAUGUCUCAAAAUUUCGAAUAAAGUUACACAAAUAAUAGUGUCAGUCCACUGACGUUCCAUAUUGAUUGCUAUCUGUGGUCAUGGAAAUUUGGUCCAAGGAUGUUAAUUCGAGGCAGUAAGACGUCAGUGUUUGGUUAAGAUUAGUACUGCUCUCAUUUCAGUCUUCAUGUGAAGUGGCUGAUAAUGUUGUUAUAGUCUUCAUACCAGUAGCUAAAUAGUUUGAUAGAUUCAGAUACGUGUCAAAAAUUAGAUACAAAAAUAAAACUACACAACUACUCUUUCUUUUCUUCUAUUAAUUUUUUUUCUUACAUUUAUGUAGUUAGCUUCUGUUUGGGGCCAUUACAUUCUGUUUUAGGAACUGUAAUUAAUGAUGUGUUCAAUAUGAUAUGUCGGCGAUCUAUUAGUUUGUUCCAUGUAACCAGAUCAUUAUUUGAUUGGAAAAAUUAUUCAAGUCCUUAACGAUUUUUCCUUAUACUAAGUCCUUUCUGGUUCUCAAACAUGGAUGAUAUCAAUCAUGAUUUUCCUUUCUUAGAAAAAAUGAAUUUCUGGUUCUCAAUAUGAUAUGUCAGUAUGUCGGUGAGUCGAUAUUUUAGGAAUCGAUGAAGAAGGGCGUCAACGGAAGCUUAUCAAGGAAAGGAUUAGAUGUUGUCAAAUUGUCAGUCACGUAGAUUUGCUGCUGAUUUCUUUCCCUUAUCUGUCAGAAAUGUUAAGAGAAGGGUAUCUUUGCUACAGCUGAUUAUUCACAAUGAUGCUGGUUGAGGCCUUCUUGUGUUUUAUCUUAGUUUUUUUGCAGAGGAUGCUGCCAGGAUAAAAUAUGGGUAUUACAAAGGUUUCACAUAUAUCCUUAUCCGGUUAACCUAGUUUUGCUGGAAUGCUGAAACAACGGAGACUCAGGUUAAUUUGUUCCUGUGGAGGUAAAUGCAGAAUCUGUUCUGUUAUCAUGCUUACGCAACUCUGCUUCUUAGAUUACUUUUCUGAUGCUUUGUUUUAUUAUGGUGUUUCGGCAUAUUUUGCAUCAAACUCUGCUACAGAAAAUGCAAAAUAUUUCUGUUUAGACCGAAAAGUUCAAAUUGCAACCCGGUUUAAAGGACAGUCAAGGAUAUUGUUUGAAACAAGCAUCUCAACAGAAAAACAUAUUAAGCAUAACGCCAUUCAUAUUUUGAAACAGUAUACCAACAUUAUUUUCAUGUGAAAAUUCAAGAGAGAACACAGAUAACUGAAAUCCUCUGGCGGUUUGCAUGCCAUGAAAAUAUAAAAGGAAAUAAGAGGCCAUUUUGCGUGCAUGAACCUUUAUUUACCUGCUUAAAUAUGAAGCCAUAAUAUUACCAUUUACAAAUAUUCCAUAUAUAUGCCGGCUUCAAAGUAACAAUGAUCUUAAGGUCCAUUACGAAUAGCAGCAGCCGUGGUGGGGAAUGACACUAUGGAGGGCUUGGCACUGAAGGGAUAGUUGGUGGAAGUGGAGGCAAUCUGACAAGUGGUGGAUCAGGUAAAUUAGGAGGAACUGUUAAGCCGAGAAUAUUACACGUUGGAGGCAGGAGAUGACGAGCUGCCACAGAAAAUAACAGUGUGAUCAUGAACAUAGCCAAAAUCAGUAAACGAGAAGAUGCUAUAGUAUAAUAAUAUAAGAACAAGAAAUCAGUGACCUCUGACCUAGAACAAUCAGACAAGGAAAGCAAUAGAGGCUUAUGGGGGUGUGGAAACAGUGAUCUUUCAUUUGUUAUUUAUAGUCGAGGACAUUGAUUCAGCGUGUAAAUGCAGUGUGGUAAGCUGCUGCAUUUCGUGAGUUUUGUUGCAUGUGCUUUGCUAAAACUCAAGUACUUCAAAAGCUGAAAUCAGGCAACCAGUACAUAUUACUCCAGCUGCUGUUAAAUUUUUGUCUCACUGCCUUCAAAUGCAGCUGUAGUCAUCACAUGAGUCUACCUAAUUUGUUUGGUAGAUGCAGGUAUGUCUCAAAAUUUCGAAUAAAGUUACACAAAUAAUAGUUUCAGUCCACCGAUGUUCCAUAUUGAUUGCUAUCUGUGGUCAUGGAAAUUUGUUCCGAGGAUGUUAAUUCGAGGCAGUAAGACGCCAGUGUUUGGUUAAGAUUAGCACUGCUCUCAAUUCAGUUUUCAUGUGAAGUGGCUGCAAAUUUUGUUGUAGUCUUCAUACCUGUAGCUAAAUAGUUUGAUAGAUUCAGAUGUGUCAAAAAUUAGAUACAAAAAUGAAACUACACAACUACUCUUUCCUUUCUUCUACUAAUUUUUUUCUCACCUUUAUGUAGUUAGCUUCUGUUUGGGGCCAUUACAUUCUGUUUUAGGAACUGUAAUUAAUGAUGUGUUCAAUAUGAUAUGUCGGCGAUCUAUUAGUUUGUUCCAUGUAACCAGAUCAUUAUCUGAUUGGAACAAUUAUUCAAGUCCUUAAUGAUUUUUCCUUAUACCAAGUCCUUUAUGAUUCUCCAACAGGGAUGAUAUCAAUUAUGAUUUUCCUUUCUUAGAAAAAAAGUAUUUUUCGAGUCAAUAUUUUAGGAAUCAAUGAAGUAGGGCGUCAAUGGAAGCUUAUUAAGGAAAGAGUUAGAUGUUGAAUUGUCAGUCACAGUGUUUUGCUGCUGAUUUCUUUUCCAUAUCUGUCAGAAAUGUUAAAGAGUAGGGUAUCUUUGCUACAGCUGAUUAUUCACAAUGAUGCUGGUUGAGAUCUUGUGGUUUAUCUUAGUUUUUUUUGCAGAGGAUGCUGCCAGCAUAAAAUAUGGGUAUUACGAAGGUUUCAUGUAUAUCCUUAUCCGGUUAACCUAGUUUUGCUGUAAUGCUGAAACUACGGAGACUCAGGUUAGUUUGUUCCUGUGGAGGUAAAUGCAGAAUCUGUUCUGUUAUCAUGCUUACGCAACUCUGCUUCUUAGAUUACUUUUCUGAUGCUUUGUUUUAUUAUGGUGUUUCGGCAUGUUUUGCAUCAAACUCUGCUAUAGAAAAUGCAAAAUAUUUCUGUUUAGACCGAAAAGUUCAUAUCGCAACCCGGUAUAAAGGACAGUCAAGGAUAUUGUUUGAAACAAGCAUCUCAACAGAAAACCAUAUUAAGCAUAACACCAUUCAUAUUACUUGAAACAGUAUACCAACAUUAUUUUCAUAUGAAAAUUCAAGAGAGAACACAAAUAACUGAAAUCCUCCGCGGUUUGCAUGCCAUGAAAAAUAUGAAAGGAAAUAAGAGGCCAUUUUGCAUGCAUGAACUUUUAUUUACGUACUUAUAUGUGAAGCCAUACUAUUACCAUUUACAUAUAUUCCAUAUAUAUGCUGGCUUCGAAGUAACAAUGAUCUUAAGGUCCAUUACGAACAGCAGCAGCCGUGGUGGGGAAUGACACUAUGGAGGGCUUGGCACUGAAGGGAUAAUUGGUGGAAGUAGAGGCAACCUGACAAGUGGUGGAUCAGGCUAAUUAGGAGGAACUGUAAAGCCUGGAAUAUUACGUGUAAAUACAGUGUGAUCGUGAACAUAGUCGUGUACAUUGAUUCAGCGUGUAAAUGCAGUGCGGUAAGCUGCUGCAUUCGGUGAGUUUUGUUGCAUGUGCUGGCCAAAACUUGAGAACUUCAAAAGCUGAAUUCAGGCAACUAGUACAUAUUACUCCAGUCGCUGUUAAAUUUUAAGAGCAGGGCAUCUUAGUACAGCUGGUUAUUCACAAUGAUGGUUGAGGCCUUAUUGUUGUUUUAUUUUAUUAUGUAGCAGAGGAUGCUGCCAGCAUAAAUUGGGCAUUACAAAGUAUUCGCAGACAUUCUUAUCUGGUUAACCUAUUUUUCCUGUAAUGCUGAAACUAGUGAAACUCAGGUAUUUUUUUUUUCAUAUGGAGGUAAAUGCAAAAUCAUUUUCGUAA